rnacentral:rRNA from 1 species
UAUCUCUGUAGAGUCUGCAUAUCAAUAAGCGGAGGAAAAGAAACUAACAAGGAUUCCCCUAGUAACGGCGAGUGAAGCGGGAAGAGCUCAAAUUUGAAAUCUUAAAGGGUUUUCCCUUGACGAAUUGUAGUUUAAAGAAGUGUUUUCUGUUAGAGAGUUCGGUAAAAGUUCCUUUGGAAUAGGGACAUCAUAGAGGGUGAGAAUCCCGUAUUUGACCGUUAUUUUCAGCUGUGUGAUACACUUUCAAAGAGUCGGAUUGUUUGGGAAUGCAGUCCAAAAUGGGUGGUAAAUUUCAUCUAAAGCUAAAUAUUGGCGAGAGACCGAUAGCGAACAAGUACCGUGAGGGAAAGAUGAAAAGAACUUUGAAAAGAGAGUUAAACAGUACGUGAAAUUGUCAAAAGGGAAGCGUUUGACACCAGUGUUGUUUUCUCGAAAAUCAAUUAAAAAUGGCUUGAUUUUGUGUUGUAUUGACCUUAAAAGCUUUCUUCACUUUUUUCAUGUCUUUUUUAAUGCACUUUUCGUUUAACAAGUCAACAUCAGUUUCUUUUGUUGUAAAAAGGUCAUUGGAAGGUGGCUUUCUUUUCGGAGAAAGUGUUUAUAGCCUUUGACUCCUGCAAUCGGAGAGACUGAGGUCUGCAGCGUAGAUCCUUCUGGAUUAGAUUCAUUUGUGCUAAGUUACAACCGUUUAUAGACAACUUGUUGACUAUAUUCGAUCCUGUAGCUUACUCGCUUAUGUAAUUUUACCUACGCUUAGGAUGUUGACUGAUAUGUAGUCGU